GUGCGGCGGAGGCUAGACGGUUAGUGGGUUUCAUGGCUGUUUUCUCUGUGUGUGUCUCUCUGUGUAUGUCGUGUGUGUGUGUGUGUUUAGCGGGCGAUGAUGCGGUUCUCGGAGCUGGAGCUGAAGGAGAAGGAGUGCGGGGGUGUGUGUGUGUCUGCGUCGGCAGCGGUAGCAGGACAGGAGUUGGCAGACCGCCAGCAGAGAGAAAGAGAGUGGGAACACUGCCAACACACCGCCAGGCAGGGAGAGAGGGAGGGUGGAAGGCAGGACUAUGGGAACAACAGAGUCCCAGUCCUCCAGAGGUGUGGGGGCCAGAGAGAGAGCCUGUAUCCAGGGCAGGAGACCUGGGAGGGGGCUAGAGAUGGUGCCAGAGAGGGUGAGGGUUGGCGAUGUUCACCCCCAGUCCUGGCACUGGCAGACCGGCACCCCCAGGAGAAGGGUGGGCAGGGCAUGGUACCCAUUAGGAAACACACACACAGCCUACAGAAGAGAGAGGAGGAAGGAGAAAAGAGCUCAGAGAAGGCCAGAAUGACUUCAGAUGCGUGCGUGCUGUGGGGCAGUGAGCAACCUACGGCUCCUACUACUAAUGAGGAUGAUGAUGAUGAAGAGGUGAGG
ensembl:lncRNA